rnacentral:rRNA from 1 species
UGAUGUGAAAGCCACGGCUCAACCGUGGAGGGUCAUUGGAAACUGGGGAACUUGAGUGCAGAAGAGGAAAGUGGAAUUCCAAGUGUAGCGGUGAAAUGCGUAGAGAUUUGGAGGAACACCAGUGGCGAAGGCGACUUUCUGGUCUGUAACUGACACUGAGGCGCGAAAGCGUGGGGAGCAAACAGGAUUAGAUACCC